CCUCUGGAAGACCCCGAGCGACCCCGGGCGGGGAUUCGCCCGUUCGGAGGGGAAUCCCGGAAGGGGUCACUUCUCAGAGGAUGGCUCCAGUUCCGGUUCCGGUUCCAAUGUGGGCGGCCGUUUAGCUGCUAGCGGGUUAGCGGGCCGGGCCCGGCUCCUGUGGAUGGCGUGGUGGCGCGGCGGGGCAGGCCCGGGUCCUCUCCUCGCUGAAGUUCACCGAUUCCAUGUGAGUCAGAGAAGUGGGCCUUGUGAGCCGAAAGAAAUAGACAGGAUACUACUGCUUCUACCCCAUCAAUUCAGAAGCCCAGUGGAUGCCCAUAAAAUAGAGAAGAGAUGAGCCCACAAACUACCUAACUUAUUCUUACAUCUAUUGCUUUUAAGUUUUUGUUUGCUCUUAAAUAAAUAUCGACACUGUCCUGCUGAA